GGCGACUUUGCUGCCACCCCGGCGGCCGUGGGGCGCAGCUGGCCUUCAUGGGCCGCAUCAUCGCCACGCUCGACCGCAGCUACCGCUAGGGCCGCUCCCACGCGCUGCUCGAGUCGCCCGCCGGCACCGACAGGUCGCUCUCCCUCCUUUGCGUCGCGCUGGCCUGGCAGCGCCACUGCCCAGCUCGGUACGCCCCAGCCGCCAACCCCCCUCCUCCACGACGACGCCUUCAUCCCUGGCAACACCCGGCAGCAGCCCACUACUGACAUCCCGGAGAAGGCGGCGGCUGCCAAGAAGAAGAAUGCGCCGACCAUCUACUACAUCACGCCUCAAGGAAGCACUAUUGCAUCAAUAAGACCGUAUGCAUGGCUGAGCCAAUUGACGAGGAAUUGUGACAUACAAGACACAUAUAUUUACUAAUCAUUUGGGUUCUUCAUUGUAAACCAUUUAGUGAGACCUUUUCUCCAUCAGCAAGAAGCUUCUAGAUGACAAAGUUCAAGGAUGCCCAGAAUUCAAAAACUGAGUCAUCGUCCAUCCCUUCGGACCGAUGGCUGCUAUGAAGUUCCUGAUAUUGAGGAUCUUCCUAGGGUCGGAACACAAGUCAAAGUUAUUUACAGGAUGUCCAUAUUUUGCUGCACAGACCAUGCAUGGCAAAAGCAGCACAAUUGAUUUUCUGCCCAUAUAGCAACCUAAUUAGUCCAAUUGUCAGGAGAGCAAUGGACAUUGAUAUCAUUGGCUCAAUUGUUAUUCUUGAUGAAGCGCAGUAAGCCCCUGAGUCUGCAGACUCAUGAUUCUUUUUCAGUGUCAUUCAAUGGUUUCCUUAGUUGCAAGACAACGGCUCCCUAUGUUACCGAUCCGGUGUUGCUGUGCGUGAGGACAGACAUGGGGAAGGUGCAACAAGGCAGCGCUCAAGUUGCAGUGGAGUGGAGUCGACCAUCACUACUGACCGCUGCUCGGCGAUCCUCGCCCCUCACCCCCCAUCUAGAUGUGGUUAGGAACUAAAUCGACAAGCAUCGAUAUUUUUGUUAGGAAGGAGCGCUAGGAGCCUAGGAGUGGAACACGAUUUCCUCGAAUCUAGCCGAGGCCUCUGCUUUUUUCGUCAUCUUCCAUCGGUCCAAGCUGCUAUUGUUCGCUCCGUCGGCUUGCAGUUGCUUCUGGAGCGUGCUUCAGAUUCAUUGUGCCUCCUUCCAAUGUGCUAAGAAAACUUGAGGUUCAUGAUUUGCUCUUGGAUCAAACUGAAAAUUAAUUUCAGUUGAAGAAUUAGUAGCAUGUAUCCUCUGAUUACCAACAGGGAAGAACUGCUCCAGUCGAAGAGCAGACAUUAUUCAUUGUGCCAACAGACUGCCUGGAAAGGAAGAAAUCGUAUGAAGUACAUCAGCACCCAUCUUAUCACCAGUUGGGGGAUUGUUUUUUCUCUCCUCGUCAACAAAGCUUGCAUCAGGCGGUCGGGUCGGAGAGAGAGACUUACCUGGAGCUGUA